rnacentral:rRNA from 1 species
CAGCCGUAAACAAUGUGCGUUAGGUAUGUCGGUAACCACGUGUUACUGAUGUGCCGAAGAGAAAUCGUGAAACGCACCACCUGGGAAGUACGGUCGCAAGGCUGAAACUUAAAGAAAUUGGCGGGGGAGCACCACAACAGGUGGAGCCUGCGGUUUAAUUGGAUUCAACGCCGGACAUCUCACCGGAUAAGACAGCUGAAUGAUUGUCAAUCUGAAGGUUUACAUGACUAGCUGAGAGGUGGUGCAUGGCGUCAGUGACU